AUCUGUCCGCCAGAGGAUUACGGGUGAAAACCUAAAACUCAAAAGACUUGACGGUGUUCCACCCUACCUAGAGGAGCCUGUUCCAUAAUCGAUAAUCCCCGAUCAACCCGACCUUUCCUUGAAAUACAAUUCAGCCUAUAUACCGCCGUCUCCCGCUUACCCUUUGAAAGAUACAACAGUAAGCCUAAUAGUCUAUAAACUAAUAAGUCAGGUCAAGGUGUAGCUUACGGAAAGGAGAGAAUGGGCUACAUUUUCUACAACCUAGACCACACGAAAAGUAUUCUGAAACAAAAUACACGAAGGCGGAUUUAGCAGUAAG
rnacentral:rRNA from 1 species